CGUUUCAGCAAGCCAUCCCGCCGCGCCGGAUUUUUCCCGCAGUCUCCAUCGCCGGGGAGCGGUUUCUGUCCGGCAGCGAAUGUUGCACAUGCAGAAGAUGGUGAGUCCACAAGGAACCAUUUCAUACGCUGGUCUAAUUUGAUUUGACCAAGAGUCUCACCCAGCACUUCCUACAUCAAGGCUGUAGUUUCUGUUGGAGUUGGAACAUACAUUCUAGUGGAACAUCCAAUCUUGAUUUAAAGACUUCAAGUGACAGGAAAUCCAUCACUUUCCUGGGCUGCCUCGCAGUACUGAGGGCUACCAGGAGAACCAAGCAGUGCGGAUUUCCACGUUCGACAUUUUUUGACAUUUUUGGAAUUUGGGCUACAGUACAGUCCCAGAAGGAGAAACAGCAGCCCUAGAGAAAGGAUGCUUGAUCAGUCAUAUAAAUAAGUGUUAUAUAUAUUCAAGGGAACUUGAUGUGGGGUAAUAUUUAAAAUUUGGUGUUUCCUAAUGUUAUUGGCCAAUGUAUUGUUGUGUUUUAUUCCUCAGAUCUCUCAAUUUCCAUAAAGGUUCUUGUAGGAAAAGAUGGGUUGAAAUUUUCCACUAAAUAUUUAUUCACUUGAGUAAUGACUACAUACGGAGUCAGAAUUACAUGGAAAAUGUUCAAAUUAAUUGUGUAAUGAUAGUUUAUGAUAAAUAAUGUAUGUCUAAAAAGGAACAAAUUUGAAAUCACAGAUGCAGCUCCAAUUCCUUGAUUUUCACAGUUCUAAGUGCUUGAUUUCACUAUUUUAGCUGCAUAUAUCAUAGGGCUUUUCUUCUUGUGUGGCAUAACACAAGGAAGUAAAACAAGCUGCUUCAACAGGGUAACUGUGGACUGUCAAACUGAGAAAAAAGUAUUUCUCAAGCCUCAUUCUUGCAUACUUCAAAAUUAUUAGAAACUACUAGUCUUUUGAACCCUCAUGUUCCUAUAUGGAAAAAUGGAUCUUUCACUGUUAUCGAAAAACAGUAGCAUGAUUAAAGAUUAACUAAAAAUGAAAGAAAAAAGAACAAAAUAUUUCUUAAGCUCUAAAGGAGUCAGGAAACUUUGAAACUUCUGAAACUUCUGACAAUGAUAAGCAGGUUUAUCUUUAAGAAUGAGCGCUGACAUAACAAAUGCAUAUUUCUUUUUUUGUCAUGAACCAGCAUAUUUCUACAGAAAGUCCCUUGAAAACACACAGCAUCUAGUAGGAGCACAAUCACAAAUUAAUAGGUUCUCAUGCAAAAAAUUUUGGAAGUUUUUUACUGAAGAUGAAAUUUACUCUGCUAACAGCAACUUAUGCAAAGACUCAGAAACGCCAUUUUUAUAGGACAGGGUUUGUCCUGGCUUAACUAAAGAAUGAUAUUUUUCAGGAUGAAGUCUGAGUAAGGAAACAGUGUUGUUUACUGGAAGAAAUGAAGGGAUUUGCUAUAGAGCAAUCAGAACACCUGUAAAUUUGUAAUACCUAGUUAAUUUAUCCAGAUUAAAAAAAUA